GACAGGAAAUGCACUAUACCCAGCCAUAGUUGAUUGCAAUGCUUCCUUUUAAAAUUGCCUUUCAUGAUGAUAAACAGUGUAAAAAUGCUGUUCAUCUACAUAAAAUAGAAUUCUAUAAGCAGAUCUGCUGGACACUCAUAAAUUAUUUAAUUCCCAAUAUGAGUAACAGAGUAAGGUUAAUUGUUUUCAAAAGCCAUCUUAUUGUUAAUGCGUUCAGUGGAGGUACUGUGUCUUGUGUACUCUACUGACAUUUAGAAUAUUUUUUUCAAAAUGCAAAGUAAAAUGAAUUCUUUAAACAGUCUUUUUUCUGAAUGGCUGUUCUUGGAUCAAAGUGCAAAUAUUAAGACUGAAGUCACCUUAAAUCAUAUAAUGCCAGAUUAAUUUAUCUUAUGCAAGAGAUAUGUGCAGCUUUGUUAUACCUGUAUACAGUUUAAGUCAAGAGCGCCUAUUGGUCUUAGGUGCAUCUUACCUCUGUAACCUGUUGUCCAACAUCCCUUAUGCUAAAUAAGUAUUAGUGUUUCUCUGUAGAUACCCUAUAGGCCGGUAGUAGAAAGAAUGCUUGUGAGGUCUCUCUUUGCCCAUUAUUCAUCAGUCUCCAAAUUGUAAACAGUGAAGUGCGCCAUAGGUGACCCUAUACCAGCUGAACCAAUGUCAUCUGUAGUGAAUAUUUAUGCUUGAAUAAUUAAUGAGUGAUAGAUGGUAAUUUAAAAAUAGAUUUCCAUACAUUCUGCAUUAUGCUUACUUCCAUAAGUAGUCUUUGUAGAGAUUUAAUAGAUCAAAUCCCACAAAGGAGCUGGCUGUUUCAUCGUGUUUCACAUUCUAAACUAGAAUGCUGCUUUGAAAUCCCAUUUCUGAAAAAUUGUUCAGCAACUGUUGAGAUUAUUAUUUAUUUUAAGAUGCCAGACCAUUAGGAAAAAAAAACAAGUUGUGUUUUAUAUUGACAAAAUAUAUUAAUUUUAUGGGAUUACAUUUUGUGAUGAAAUACCCUUAAAUAUCAGUGUACAAAUUUGCCAAUUAUACAUGGUUCAGUAGUCUACAUCACUCUAAUAGCCAGGUAUAGCUAGAAAACUUGAUUAUAAUUAGUGGCCAAGUUAUACUCUUUGUUCUUAACUCAGAAUAAAGUAUUAUUUGACGAGAGUAGAAGAAACAAAAAUUAGCACAGAAAGUCUGUAUGUUUACUGAAGUUCUUACCACUGCAGAGAAAUUGGAAAACUGAUAAACUGUUCCAUGAAGUUAUGAAUUAAGUAAUAACCAGAGGAGUAAUUUGCUGUUGGAUUUAAUCAAGUUGGAUUUUUUAAUUUAAACUGCAUUAAUUUCAAUACAUAUUUGAAUAGAAAUUUCAAAAAAAGUGUAAGUAGCUAAUGAAGGAAAUAAUACCAGUUGUAGUUAAUGAAGGAAGUCCUAUCAGUUCUUUUUAUAUAUAAGUGCUUCUUAUUUCUAAUUCCUGUCUUUCCUUAAUUUGGUACUGAAUCAGCUGUCUUCUGUUGGACCAGUCUCUUUUAUUGGCAUCUGCAUUUUAAGAUUGUUUAUGGGUUUAAAGAGUUUUUGAUAUUUACCACAUGGAUAUAAAUUUAUAAUACCAUUAUUGUGACAGUCCAGCAGAAGCUGUAAGUCCUUCCUAUCCUGACAAAAUUAUUUCAAGUGGAUUACUGUGCUCUACACUUGUUAUUUUUAUUGUGCUUGUAAUAACAGAAGGUUAGCUUUUAGAUUUGUUGCUGUGUGAAGGCAGUGUUAUGACUGUAAGGUUAUGCCUGAAUUAUGAUUAAGGAGGAAAUCUGAAGCCAGAGAGCUAGCUCAGUAACUUUGAAGUUCAAAUGUGUGUGUGCAUCCCACACCAGUGUAAUGCUUCUUCCUACAUACAUAGAAGCCAUACUGAUUACUGAUAUAUUUCUAGGUAUUUCCAAGUUAGUACGGGGGUUUGGUAAUUCGUUAUGGCAGUGUCCAUACCAGACUGUUCAGUGCCACAUUAUAGAUACUUGAUCUGGCUCAGAACAAGCUGGUUUGUCAGAUGUGGCAGAGUUGGUUCCUCAUGAGCAGUACUGUAAGUCCUGGGAACUGUAUUGGCACACUGUGUCCCAGCUACUUAGCUCUGCAUCCCAGUCAGAUAAACUGGUUGAGUGUUGAUCUGCAUAUAGAGCUUUCCAGACCUAUAGUGAGCUCUGCAGGUACAAGCUCAAGAAUUUCAGACUUGUGGUUUGUGCAGUUCACAGCAUGGUCUGUACUGCUGCCUUCUUCAGUGAAGUGCAGUACUGCAUCAGAUUAUUGUAGGAGUCAUCUAGACAAAGUGAGUGUAUGCCUUGGGCUAUAGGUUAGGUUGGUCCAUCCAAUUAUUUGAUUUUUGGUCUUCCCUUAGUCAUUGUGCCUUAUACUGACUCGUAUCUGUGUGACAUUGUUCAGUCAUUAUUCCUCGCUAGACAGAAGGAUCUCCACCCUCUCCUUCGAGUUGAGCUGCUUCUGAUGAAUUUUCAUGUGCUAAGCCUUCCCAGAGAAUUCCUAAUUUCUGAAAUACAUUGCUUAUUUUCUCCUCUUUGGAUCAGUUUUUCUUCCCUCAGAAGUAACUGUCUUGUUUUCACCAAGAACAUAACCUUAUCUUCAGAAUGUACAAAGUUGAUUUUCUCAUGAGAUCAUGGUUAGUGCUGGAUAGGAAUUAUUUGGGAAGUUUUUUGUGAAAAGUUGUCCAUUCCCUUCUUGUGGGUUUGCAAAUACAGAAGUGCAUAGGGCAGCAUUUGAGACGUGGGAAAUGAGCUUAAAGUUCCUUACAAUGUUAGGUUUACAGAUUGCAUUACCUAGUUAAACUGGCUUUAUGCACUUACCACUUUGCAGUUAAGAGACUCAAUCUUUGUGAAGUUACACUUACGUAAAUUCAUUUUCUAAGGGGAAAAUGUGUGUAUGCGAGGUAUUCCUUUCCGUGUGUAUGAGUGGGGUUUGCUGGUUGUGUUUUUUUUUUUGUUUCGUGUUUGUUUUUAAUAAGGUUAUGAAUGAAAUUUUGUCUUCAGUUUUAAGGGUGGUAGAUUAAAAAUUCUUUCCUUCUGUAGGUACCUAGAGAACAGACUGUUCUUGGGAGUGUCUGUUCUAGAACAGGGUUGCUUAUGAAAUAAGAAUACAAGUUGUUGAUAGUAUCUUUAUUUAGAUUUUACAGCCAAACACAUUAAAUUUUCAGGGUAUUUUUGAGGAAUUUCUAAUAGAAUUCUUGUCUCAUCUGUCUUCUUAAAAGUUUUUUGUUCUUACUAGUAUUUGAUUUUGUGCACUAAAAGCUAGUUAAAAGAAGAAACUGACCCAAUCCAAAUUGUAUCUCACGUUAUUGUAGAUAGUUAUUACACAAUAUAGUUUAACAACUAUUUCCAGAAAUUUGUAAAAAUAAUUUCUCAGUCCAUGUCCUCUUUGCUUAAAUUUGCUUACACCAAUUCUUCUGACUUUUUGAGUGUGAAUAAGUACGAGCACUCCUUCUACAGUAAGUGUAGAGGACAGUCAUGUUAAGAUUUUAAGACAGGAAAGCACUGUUACGAUAAUGUGAUCUGAGCUUUAUAACACAAGCCUAAUAGUCAAUUAGCUUCAUUACAGGGCAGUGAUUUUUAGGUACUUUGGUCAGUAAUAUUAACUAGUUUUGUGCUGGAGCAAGUGUUGCAUAGCAGUAUCAAGUUACAGUGUAGUCAUUGUUUGGUGGCUGUCUUGGACAAUUCAGGAAGUUGCUUUUCUUUACCUGCCUGGGUUCCCAAUUCAAAGAUAUGUUUUCUCAGUGCGUAUUGAAAGAAAGGAAAAGUCAGCUAUGUUAUUUUUUACUCUUUCAGUGUCCAGCUCCUGAUAACUUGUGCGGUAUGUUUGAGUGAUCAGUAUUUGCUUAGGAAGGGAUGCUCAAAGUUUGAACAGAAGUUUAUACUAAAAGAUGUUCAUGGAUAGAUUGCCAAAAAAUAGAGAAAGCACCUGUUUAGUUGAGAAAGAGCAUGUAAUUUUUUUUCCAGAAAUAUCUGCAUGUGCCACUAGAAUAUUUCCUGACAUUUGUUUCUUUUCUUUCUCAGUGUAUUUCAGGAAAUGGAAAACUUGCUUUUGAUCAGUUUUGUUUUGUUUUUUUUUUUUGCUCUACUCUUAAAACAAGUAGAACUGGAAACUUUAUUUUAGAGAGUCUAUGAUCUUGUUGUUGCAUAGAAUGAGGUCUAUGCCCUAUGUAUAAUUAGGGUCAUGGUUGUAAUUGGUUAAUCCUCAUCCACAUAAAAUUAUUUUAUUUUUUUGUAUGGUUUUUGUGUUUUGGUUUGGUUUUGUUUUGAUUUGAUUCCUCUUCAGAAUAUGUAGAAAUAAAUAUUUAAAGUUCUUUGGUGCAGCCGAUCACUGCUCUCAUCUUCUGAGCAGGCUUCUGCCUGUCAGCAAUUUAAAAAUAUGAGCAUUGAUUGUUUGGUUAAAUGCUUAUGUUCUGUUUCAUAAAUCCUGUAAUUUAAUUGUAUUUUUAAAAAUAAAUAUUCUAUGGUAGUAUCAUAGCCAUUACUGUUUUAAUAAGUGGGGGAAUUAGUAGGCUUGUGCUUAAAUGUUAGAUUUUAAUUGAUAUUUCCCAAAGAUGAUCUAAAGCUUUUUCUGUAUUCUAAGUGUCUGUGUGCUAUCAGUACUGCAGGUAUACUUGUAGUCAAAUUUCUGUACUCUGUAAAUGACAGAAAAUAUGGUAUGCUUUUGCCCAAACAGUCCUGAGGUAAAAGGUUCAGCAUUCAUGACAAGUGAGACUACAUAGUCUAAUUAGCAGUCAUUUGAGUGAUGCCUAAUACUAAGAAAACUCUCCUGAGUUCUGAGAGAAUGGCACCUCUGUAGUGAGGCUUAACCAGGUGGUACUUUCCAUUAACUAUUUAGUAUUGCCCAAGGCCAUCUUCAGUAUUAAUGGCAACUAUGCCAUGCAUAUAGAUAGGCUGUGGUGAUUCAUUCUAUUCAAGGGUGGUGCAUGGAUAGGUAUCAUUGAACAGUUCUGUUCUGAAGUAGACCACUGAACAUCCUUAAAACUAUAUAUGCAGCAGAAGCUUGGGAGACUUGCAGUGGUUUUCUAUUUUAUUCACUUCUGUUGCUUUUGGAUGUCGUGGAUAGUUCAUUUUGCAAAUACUCCUUUUCUACUUACAGUUGCUAUAAUACGAAAGGUUUUUUAAACCCAAAGCUCUCAGAACAUGAAUUUACAGUGGUUUUAUGACAAAUAGCUGACAAUUUAAAGCAGAUCUAAAGAUACUUGUAGUUGACUAGUUUGUAAGAAGGAAAAAAAAAGAGGGUAGUGAUUUUUCUAGACUGAUUAUGUCUAGAUCUCAUAAUCUUAUAUAUGUAUUUAAUGAGAAAAAAAGACUGAAUACCACUUCCAAAAACACUUACAUUCUUAAUAUACUUGAUAGAAAAGGGAUCUGCUGAUAAAGGAUAAUAUUGUGUGUAAAAAUAUCUAUCUGCAAUUUUAUUUACCUGCAUGUUUACCAGCAUCUUCUUUGUUUGCUCUUAUAAAUACAAAUCAUUUUAGACCAUUUUUAAAGCAUUGCAAAUUUAAUGUGUUUACUCUGAAACUUUUUAACAUUUUGCUUGGGCUGUAAGAGCUCUUAAAUUGAUAUACUACAU